rnacentral:rRNA from 1 species
AGCAUAUCAAUAAGCGGAGGAAAAGAAACCAACAGGGAUUGCCUCAGUAACGGCGAGUGAAGCGGCAAAAGCUCAAAUUUGAAAUCCCCCCGGGGAGUUGUAAUUUGAAGAUUGCGUCUUGGAGGCGACCGUGUCUAUGUUCCUUGGAACAGGACGUCACAGAGGGUGAGAAUCCCGUGCGGCACGGCCCCCGGCUCCUUAUAAGGCGCUCUCGACGAGUCGAGUUGUUUGGGAAUGCAGCUCAAAGUGGGUGGUAAAUUCCAUCUAAAGCUAAAUACAGGCGAGAGACCGAUAGCGAACAAGUACAGUGAUGGAAAGAUGAAAAGCACUUUGAAAAGAGAGUGAAACAGCACGUGAAAUUGUUGAAAGGGAAGGGCAUGCCGUCAGAUUGUCAGUGUGGGUAAGAAGCGGGGUACAAAGACUGUGGAACGUGGCCCUCGGGUGUUAUAGCCGCAGUUCAUGCCCCGUCUCUUUCCGAGGCCUGCUUUGAGGACACCGACGUAAUGACGGUACGCCGCCCGUCUUGAAACACGGACCAAGGAGUCUAACGUCUAUGCGAGUGUGUGGGUGUCAAACCCAAACGCGUAAUGAAAGUGAACAGAUGAGUUUCAUCAUCGACCGAUCCUGAAGUGUUCGGAUGGAUUUGAGUAAGAGCAUAGCUGUUGGGACCCGAAAGAUGGUGAACUAUGCCUGAAUAGGGUGAAGCCAGAGGAAACUCUGGUGGAGGCUCGUAGCGGUUCUGACGUGCAAAUCGAUCGUCGAAUUUGGGUAUAGGGGCGAAAGACUAAUCGAACCAUCUAGUAGCUGGUUCCUGCCGAA